rnacentral:rRNA from 1 species
GAUGAACGCUGGCGGCGUGCUUAACACAUGCAAGUCGAACGAUGAAGCCCAGCUUGCUGGGUGGAUUAGUGGCGAACGGGUGAGUAACACGUGAGUAACCUGCCCUUCACUCUGGGAUAAGCCUGGGCAACUGGGUCUAAUACCGGAUAGGAGCGUCCACCGCAUGGUGGGUGUUGGAAAGAUUUAUCGGUUUUGGAUGGACUCGCGGCCUAUCCGCUUGUUGGUGAGGUAAUGGCUAACCAAGGCAAUGACGAGUAGCCGGACUGAGAGGGUGAUCGGCCACCAUGGAACUGAGAGAGGGUUGAGAGUAAGAAGGGAGGCAGUAGUAGGGAAUCUUCCGACAUGGGCGGAAGGGUGACGGAGCAACGCCGCGUGAGGUAUGAAGGUCGUAGGAUCGUAAAACUUUGUGAUGAGGGAAGAACAAAUGUGUAAGUAACGAUCAACGUAUUGACGGCAGCUAAUAAGAAAGCCACGGAUAAGUACGUG